rnacentral:rRNA from 1 species
GGGCUUACACAUGCAGUCGCACGCGCAGCCGGUCCUUCGGGACCGGUGGGCGAGUGGCGACCGGGUGAGUAACGCGUAGACAAUCUUCCCUUGAGUGGGGGAUAACCACCGGAAACGGUGGCUAAUACCGCACGAAGUCCUAGAACCGCAUGGUUCAUGGACCAAAGGCUUCGGCCGCUCUUGGAUGAGUCUGCGUCGGAUUAGCUAGUUGGUGAGGUAACUGCUCACCAAGGCGAUGAUCCGUAGCUGGUCUGAGAGGAUGAUCAGUCACACUGGCACUGAGACACGGGCCAGACUCCUACGGGAGGCAGCAGUGAGGAAUCUUGCGCAAUGGGGGAAACCCUGACGCAGCCACGCCGCGUGGAGGAAGACACCCCUAUGGGGCGUAAACUCCUUUUCUGCGGGAAGAACCCCGGGGUAUGCCCCGGCUGACGGUACCGCAGGAACAAGGGCCGGCUAACUCCGUGCCAGCAGCCGCGGUAAUACGGAGGGCCCAAGCGUUGUCCGGAAUUAUUGGGUGUAAAGGGUCCGCAGGCGGGACAGUAAGUCGGAGGUGAAAGCCCUCGGCUCAACCGAGGAAUUGCCUUCGAUACUGCUGUUCUUGAGUCCCGGAGAGGCCACCGGAAUUCGUGGUGUAGCGGUGAAAUGCGUAGAUAUCACGAGGAACACCAGAAGUGAAAACGGGUGGCUGGACGGGUACUGACGCUCAGGGACGAAAGCGUGGG